AACGCGAAGAACCUUACCAGCCCUUGACAUGUCCGGCACACUCCAGAGAUGGGGUUUUCCCUUCGGGGACCGGAGCACAGGUGCUGCAUGGCUGUCGUCAGCUCGUGUCGUGAGAUGUUGGGUUAAGUCCCGCAACGAGCGCAACCCUCGCCCUUAGUUGCCAGCAUUAAGUUGGGCACUCUAGGGGGACUGCCGGUGAUAAGCCGAGAGGAAGGUGGGGAUGACGUCAAGUCCUCAUGGCCCUUACGGGCUGGGCUACACACGUGCUACAAUGGCGGUGACAAUGGGCAGCGAAGGGGCGACCCGGAGCUAAUCUUGAAAAACCGUCUCAGUUCGGAUUGUUCUCUGCAACUCGAGAGCAUGAAGUUGGAAUCGCUAGUAAUCGCG
rnacentral:rRNA from 1 species